rnacentral:rRNA from 1 species
GGGGGCCCGCACAAGCGGCGGAGCAUGCGGAUUAAUUCGAUGCAACGCGAAGAACCUUACCAAGGCUUGACAUGAACCGGAAAUACCUGGAAACAGGUGCCCCGCUUGCGGUCGGUUUACAGGUGGUGCAUGGUUGUCGUCAGCUCGCGUCGUGAGAUGUUGGGUUAAGUCCCGCAACGAGCGCAACCCUCGUUCUAUGUUGCCAGCGCGUUAUGGCGGGGACUCAUAGGAGACUGCCGGGGUCAACUCGGAGGAAGGUGGGGACGACGUCAAAUCAUCAUGCCCCUUAUGUCUUGGGCUUCACGCAUGCUACAAUGGCCGGUACAAAGGGUUGCGAUACUGUGAGGUGGAGCUAAUCCCAAAAAGCCGGUCUCAGUUCGGAUUGGGGUCUGCAACUCGACCCCAUGAAGUCGGAGUCGCUAGUAAUCGCAGAUCAGCAACGCUGCGGUGAAUACGUUCCCGGGCCUUGUACACACCGCCCGUCAAGUCACGAAAGUUGGUAACACCCGAAGCCGGUGGCCUAACCCCUUGUGGGAGGGAGCUGUCGAAGGUGGGACUGGCGAUUGGGACUAAGUCGUAACAAGGUAACCGUAAGGGC